CAGGCCUUGACAUCCAAUGAACUUUCCAGAGAUGGAUCGGUGCCUUCGGGAGCAUUGAGACAGGUGCUGCGUGGCUGUCGUCAGCUCGUGUCGUGAGAUGUUGGGUUAAGUCCCGUAACGAGCGCAACCCUUGUCCUUAGUUACCAGCACGUAAUGGUGGGCACUCUAAGGAGACUGCCGGUGACAAACCGGAGGAAGGUGGGGAUGACGUCAAGUCAUCAUGGCCCUUACGGCCUGGGCUACACACGUGCUACAAUGGUCGGUACAGAGGGUUGCCAAGCCGCGAGGUGGAGCUAAUCCCACAAAACCGAUCGUAGUCCGGAUCGCAGUCUGCAACUCGACUGCGUGAAGUCGGAAUCGCUAGUAAUCGCGAAUCAGAAUGUCGCGGUGAAUACGUUCCC
rnacentral:rRNA from 1 species